GACGAACGCUGGCGGCGUGCUUAACACAUGCAAGUCGAACGGAAAGGCCCUGCUUUUGUGGGGUGCUCGAGUGGCGAACGGGUGAGUAACACGUGAGUAACCUGCCCUUGACUUUGGGAUAACUUCAGGAAACUGGGGCUAAUACCGGAUAGGAGCUCCUGCUGCAUGGUGGGGGUUGGAAAGUUUCGGCGGUUGGGGAUGGACUCGCGGCUUAUCAGCUUGUUGGUGGGGUAGUGGCUUACCAAGGCUUUGACGGGUAGCCGGCCUGAGAGGGUGACCGGCCACAUUUGGACUGAGAUACGGCCCAGACUCCUACGGGAGGCAGCAGUGGGGAAUAUUGCACAAUGGGCGUAAGCCUGAUGCAGCAACGCCGCGUGCGGGAUGACGGCCUUCGGGUUGUAAACCGCUUUCGCCUGUGACGAAGCGUGAGUGACGGUAAUGGGUAAAGAAGCACCGGCUAACUACGUG
rnacentral:rRNA from 1 species